AUCGAGUACUUCCCUUUGGCCUCGCACUCUCACCCCGCACGUUCACGAAAUGUGUAGAUGCGGCUCUGGUCCCCCUGCGCAUGCAGGGCAUCCGCAUUCUCAACUACAUCGACGAUUGGUUGAUUUUAGCUCAGUCAGAGCAGGCUGCGGCUCGGCAUCGAGAUGUCGUUCUCGCACAUAUGGGGGAGCUGGGUUUGAGACUGAACGCCAAGAAGAGUGUACUUUCUCCAGUUCAGAGAACCACCUAUCUAGGCGUAGUAUGGGAUUCGACCACGAUGCAGGCACGAUUGUCCCCUGCUCGUAUCGAGUCGAUCCUCAUCUCAGUCGAGAGAGUCAAAGAAGGCCAGUCACUCACUGUCAAACAAUUUCAGAGAUUGUUGGGUCUGAUGGCAGCUGCGUCCAACGUGAUACCUUUUGGCCUGCUGUACAUGAGACCCCUACAGUGGUGGCUCAAGACCAAGGGAUUUUCCCCGAGGGGCAAUCCACUUCGAACUAUCAAGGUCACGCGGCGCUGCCUCCGUGCCUUAGACAUGUGGAAGAAACCUUGGUUCUUGAAUCAGGGCCCAGUGCUGGGAGCUCCUGGUCGCCGUGUAACACUAGCGACGGAUGCUUCCCUCACUGGUUGGGGUGCGGUCAUGAGUGGCCACCCUGCCCGCGGUCUGUGGAGCGGUCGCCAUCUGACAUGGCAUAUCAAUUGUCUAGAAAUGCUAGCAGUUUAUCGUGCACUGAAGCACUUCCUCCCAGACCUAAGGGAUCACCAUGUGUUGGUGCGCACCGACAACACAUCGGUGGUCUCUUACAUCAACCACCAGGGAGGUCUGCGUUCGCGCCCCUUGUACAAGCUGGCGCACCAGAUCCUUGUGUGGUCCCAGGGCAAACUCCUCUCACUCAGAGCAGUAUAUAUUCCUGGGAAACUGAAUGUGGGAGCAGACAUACUGUCGAGGCAGGGGCCGAGGCCCGGGGAAUGGAAGCUUCACCCCGAGGUGGUGGAGCAGAUAUGGAGAAUUUUUGGCAGAGCUCAAGUAGACCUCUUUGCAACUCAGGAGACAGCACAAUGUCCCCUUUGGUUCUCUCUAGUUCAUCCAGCUCCCCUGGGACUGGACGCUAUGGUACAGACCUGGCCGAGGCUUCGUCUGUACGCAUUUCCCCCUAUUGCUCUGCUCCCGGGAGUUCUGGCGAGAGUACGCCGGGACGGGGUCCGUCUAUUGUUAGUAGCCCCGUUCUGGCCGGGCCGAGUAUGGUUCGCAGAUCUGGUCUCGCUCCUCGACGGCUCUCCUUGGGAGAUACCGAUCAGGACAGACCUACUCUCACAGGCGCAGGGCACGAUAAUUCACCCUCGCCCGGAGCUGUGGAAGCUGUGGGUGUGGCCCCUGAGGGGGCGCAGUUCAUAGCAUCCGGUCUCUCAACCGAGGUUGUUGAGACCCUCCUCCAAUCCAGAGCUCCCUCAACGAGGAAACUGUACGCCCUGAGGUGGAAACUCUUCACCUCAUGGUGCAGAAACCGCCAGCUAGACCCAGUAAACUGCCCAGUCGGUACAGUUCUGGAGUUCCUACAGGCCAGGUUCUCUGCAGGGUUGACCCACUCCACGUUGAAGGUCUACGUGGCGGCCAUUGCGGCCUACCACGCCCUUCUCGAUGGUCAGUCUUUGGGAAGACACCCAUUAGUUACACGUUUCCUCCGCGGUGCGCUGAGGCUGAGACCUCCAGUACGGUCCCGUAUUCCCCCGUGGGACUUGGUUGUGGUGCUAGAGGCCUUGUGCAGACCUCCAUUUGAGCCUAUUCAAGAUAUUUCAGACAGACAUCUGACACUCAAAACCGCCUUUCUGUUGGCCAUUACCUCUCUGAGGAGAGUAGGAGAUUUGCAGGCCCUCUCAGUGGCCCCUACAUAUCUGGACUUUGCACCUGGCAUGACCAAAGCGUUCAUAUACCCUCGAGCGGGAUAUGUUCCUAAGGUCCCCUCUGUCACACCACAACCUGUAGUGCUGCAGGCUUUCUGUCCUCCUCCCUUUCGGGAGCCCGACCAAGAGAAGCUAAACUGUAUGUGUCCAGUUCGAGCACUGGACGCAUACGUCCACAGAGCUGCCCUGUGGAGAAAAACAGACCAAUUGCUUGUAUGCUAUGGUCCCCCCAAGAGGGGUUCUCCUGCUUCUAAGCAGUCUAUUAGUCGUUGGAUAGUCGAGGCUAUCAACGCCACCUAUGAGUCCUCUGGUCCUCCCCCGUUGUUGGGAGCCAAGGCUCACUCCACACGGGGUAUGGCGGCCUCCAAGGCCUUUUUGGCAGGUGUAUCCAUGCUGGACAUCUGCAACGCUGCGGGGUGGUCCACGCCCUCUACAUUUGCAAAAUUUUACGGCCUAGACAUGCCGGUCACUCCAGGCGCAUCCGUCCUCUCGUCCUAAGCUGUGCUCUUCGGAUACACACUAGGCAGGGGUUUGGUAGUCUGGCAGCGUUGGUACUCGUUCCCCAAAGCGUUCGACGCAGCUCGAGUUCCUGAAGAGGAACGUCUCUAGGUUACGUAUGUAACCCUAGUUCCUCGAGGGAACGAGACGCUGCGUCUCGGAGCCAUACCCCCCGGCACCCCUGCCGGCGCUUGCUGGUACUCGAAGCUGAUGCCAGCUGCGCGGCAUGUGCUUUUAUAGCUUCCUGGUUGCUUACGUCACCCCGCCC
ensembl:lncRNA